UAUAGCAUUAUACCGUGAAACUGCGAAUGGCUCAUUAAAUCAGUUAUCGUUUAUUUGAUAAUACCUUACUACUUGGAUAACCGUGGUAAUUCUAGAGCUAAUACAUGCUGAAAAUCCCGACUUCGGAAGGGAUGUGUUUAUUAGAUAAAAAACCAAUGCCCUUCGGGGCUUUUUGGUGAUUCAUGAUAACUUUACGGAUCGCAUAGCCUUGCGCUGGCGACGGUUCAUUCAAAUUUCUGCCCUAUCAACUUUCGAUGGUAAGGUAUUGGCUUACCAUGGUUUCAACGGGUAACGGGGAAUUAGGGUUCGAUUCCGGAGAGGGAGCCUGAGAAACGGCUACCACAUCCAAGGAAGGCAGCAGGCGCGCAAAUUACCCAAUCCCGACACGGGGAGGUAGUGACAAUAAAUACUGAUACAGGGCUCUUUUGGGUCUUGUAAUUGGAAUGAGUACAAUUUAAACCUCUUAACGAGGAACAAUUGGAGGGCAAGUCUGGUGCCAGCAGCCGCGGUAAUUCCAGCUCCAAUAGCGUAUAUUAAAGUUGUUGCAGUUAAAAAGCUCGUAGUUGAAACUUGGGCCUGGCUGGCGGGUCCGCCUCACCGCGUGCACUCGUCCGGCCGGGCCUUCCUUCUGAAGAACCUCAUGCCCUUCACUGGGCGUGCUGGGGAAUCAGGACUUUUACUUUGAAAAAAUUAGAGUGUUCAAAGCAGGCCUUUGCUCGAAUACGUUAGCAUGGAAUAAUAAAAUAGGGCGUGCGUUUCUAUUUUGUUGGUUUCUAGAGACGCCGCAAUGAUUAACAGGAACAGUCGGGGGCAUCAGUAUUCAGUUGUCAGAGGUGAAAUUCUUGGAUUUACUGAAGACUAACUACUGCGAAAGCAUUUGCCAAGGAUGUUUUCAUUAAUCAGUGAACGAAAGUUAGGGGAUCGAAGACGAUCAGAUACCGUCGUAGUCUUAACCGUAAACUAUGCCGACUAGGGAUCGGGCGAUGUUCUUUUUCUGACUCGCUCGGCACCUUACGAGAAAUCAAAGUUUUUGGGU
rnacentral:rRNA from 1 species